rnacentral:lncRNA from 10 species
ACACAUCAGAGUGUGUUUAGUUCAUCUGGGCUGGUGAGUUCCAGUGAUGAAAGCCUGGUGCUAAUGGAGGCGAGGUCACCGGUUCAAUCCUCAUAGGACCCAGUUCACUUACAAGAGAAAAAACACUACUCAAGAACCAGAGACACCUCCUGACCCCAGUCACUGACCACAAGAAGGAUGGGGUGAAAACGAUGGCUGACCCAGGGCAAAACCAUCUGAUAAACAACUCAGACAGCACACCCCCAACCCCCAGCAGGAGAAGCCAGCACCUUCUAGUUUAAGGAUUUUAUAAAACCGCUUUUAUAAAAAUCCCUGCGGACAAGUUCACAGUAGCUGACUCCCCAAGAUGAGACGUGCUGCUUUAGAAGGGGGCUGAAGAGCUAUGCCCAGACUGGAGCACGAGUCUGCUUGCUGGUGUGUUUCUCAGUCCAGUUUGAUUUUUUAAAGGUACCCUCCAUGGGACAGAACUCUGCUUACAAACUUUAAAACUGGAUGAUGCAAAAAUUACCUGCACAGCAGAGGAGGACAACGAACCAUAGUAAGUUUAAGUGAUGGAUUCUUUAAUCUAUCAUUAAUUUGUACAGAUAAGUCAAAGAAAGGUAGUAGCAGAUACGGAGCCCUCGCCGUGUACGCAACGCUUGACAUCCUUUCUCACUGAGUCCCCACAGUAGACCUAGUGCUGCCAUUUUGCAGGUGAGAAAACUGAAAUGCCAUAUACGGUAGAGAUGGGAGUCGAAACUCCUACUUCCUUUUGAUAAAUCCAGGAUUCUUGCCUUAGUAAAAUGGACUGUUUUUUGAUUGCUGUUUUUUGCUUGUUUGUUUUGCCUUAAAACGCAAUAUAAAUAUAUAGAGUUAGCUCUCCAUUGUUACUUCUUUAUAAUUGAGAUCAAUAAGUACAUUAUUAUAAAAAUUAGGAGAAACAAUACACUGAUAUAAACAAUUACAAUGUCUCUGUUGUUUUUAAAUAAAAAAAAAAAAAACUGAUUUUGCUUUUAUCCAUAACAGAAAAGGUAAGUUUGUGGGCUGGCUUCUUAGAAAAGACUCAGAAUGGUUUACAUAAAUGUGUCCUUUGAAAUGCCUAAGUGCAAUAAUCAAAGAAAAUCGAAAAUUAAAUUUCCAUAUGAAAACUGAUCCAGUCAACUAAAAUUACUGCAAAGCUAAGGCAUCCAUCAUUACUUUGAGCAAAGGGCUAGUGCCCCCAAACCCACGUAUGAUUUUAUACACCCAUAGCUCCAUAUUCGGGGAUUUGGCUCAGCUGGUGGGUGCACGUGGCAAUAAAGAGGCCAGCCAACUCCACAGAGAGCUGCCAGGUUAACCCUGGGCUGUGGGCAGAGCUAAUAAAAAACAGGCACACCAGCCCAAACCCCAGACACACACAAAACCCAGCCUCAACUAUUUUAAUGUUUUCUUUCUUCUAUUUAUUUUUCCUGUUUUUUUCCUUUCUCCUUGUAAG